UACGUAGGGGGCUAGCGUUGUCCGGAUUUAUUGGGCGUAAAGAGCUCGUAGGUGGUUCGGUUAGUCGGAUGUGAAAUCUCCAGGCUCAACCUGGAGGGGUCAUUCGAUACUGCCGUGACUAGAGUUCGGUAGAGGAGUGUGGAAUUCCUGGUGGAGCGGUGAAAUGCGCAGAGAUCAGGAGGAACACCCGUAGCGAAGGCGGCUCACUGGCCCGGUACUGACGCUGAGGUGCGAAAGCGUGGGGAGCAAACAGG
rnacentral:rRNA from 1 species